rnacentral:rRNA from 1 species
ACGAACGCUGGCGGCGUGCUUAACACAUGCAAGUCGAACGGAAAGGCCCUGCUUUUGUGGGGUGCUCGAGUGGCGAACGGGUGAGUAACACGUGAGUAACCUGCCCUUGACUUUGGGAUAACUUCAGGAAACUGGGGCUAAUACCGGAUAGGAGCUCCUGCUGCAUGGUGGGGGUUGGAAAGUUUCGGCGGUUGGGGAUGGACUCGCGGCUUAUCAGCUUGUUGGUGGGGUAGUGGCUUACCAAGGCUUUGACGGGUAGCCGGCCUGAGAGGGUGACCGGCCACAUUGGGACUGAGAUACGGCCCAGACUCCUACGGGAGGCAGCAGUGGGGAAUGUUGCACAAUGGGCGGAAGCCUGAUGCAGCAACGCCGCGUGCGGGAUGACGGCCUUCGGGUUGUAAACCGCUUUCGCCUGUGACGAAGCGUGAGUGACGGUAAUGGGUAAAGAAGCACCGGCUAACUACGUG